GUUCGCGUUCACAUAGUGUUUUCACUUGUGUUGUCGAAUCAAGAUGCAAGAGUAUGGAUGGCUUGAGUUCCUUGAAAACAAGUAGAAUUAAUCUUGUUGACCUUGCCGGGUCAGAAAGACAAAAGUUGACCGG